rnacentral:rRNA from 1 species
UUCUGGCUCAGGAUGAACGCUAGCUACAGGCUUAACACAUGCAAGUCGAGGGGCAGCAUAACGAAAGCUUGCUUUGUUGAUGGCGACCGGCGCACGGGUGAGUAACGCGUAUCCAACCUUCCCCUUAGUAGGGCAUAGCCCGUAGAAAUGCGGAUUAAUACCCUAUGUUCUUCGAAGCGGUCAUCCAAUUUGAAGCAAAGAUUCAUCGCUAAGGGAUGGGGAUGCGUCCGAUUAGGUUGUUGGCGGGGUAACGGCCCACCAAGCCAUCGAUCGGUAGGGGUUCUGAGAGGAAGGUCCCCCACAUUGGAACUGAGACACGGUCCAAACUCCUACGGGAGGCAGCAGUGAGGAAUAUUGGUCAAUGGACGAGAGUCUGAACCAGCCAAAGUAGCGUGCAGGACGACGGCCCUAUGGGUUGUAAACUGCUUUUAUACAGGGAUAAAGUCGGGGACGUGUCCCCGUUUGUAGGUACUGUAUGAAUAAGGACCGGCUAAUUCCGUGCCAGCCGCAGC